GCGGUCUUUUUUUUUGCAGACAUGAGAAGGAAAGGAUGUCCGUUUUCGUUUAUGGCAAUAGUUGCUUGCGUUUAUGGAACUUGGAAUGGAGCCAGUUGUUGGCUGGCUAGCCUUGCUCCGGCGGUUAUUUUCUUUCCGCAAUGAAGUAGCUAUUUAACGUUACCAAGUGAACAGAUCGGAAAAAUUUAGUUUAAGUCGUCAGGCAAGAAAAAAUGGCUAAAGCAUUAAGUGGUUGUGCCACCAUUCAGGUCUUCAGACAUGGGAGGGCUGCAAAUGGGAAUAACACGAUACCCCUUCAUGGUAGUUGUCUCCCACAUCCUUACAUUAAAAAUAAAAGCAUGCGGACUGAAUGAAUUGCAUCAACUCUUAAGGAAAGCAUGCUCAGUCAACUCCAUUGAAGGUGAUUCAACUCUAGUCAAUGCGUUUUGAAGACUAAGCAUGGAACUGCUGGGACUGGAUUGAUGGUUAAAUGGAAAGGGUAUUAAAGGAAAAACGCAAUUUGGUGGACUGCUUGCAUUUCAGCAGGAACUUAUCAAGGAAUACAUGUGUGUAACAGGCCAAUCGAGUUGAAGCAUAGGAUUGUUUCUUUCUGGACUUGGGUGGGGAACCGAAUGUUACAUCCUGCAGAUUCACGAAGCUCCAGGCCAGACUGUUUGGCUCAGCCGCCCACCAGCUGUGUUCACAUGGCCCUUUGAUACAUCUAACCCCGGAUAGUCACUGCAUAAUCCUCUUGUCUUGCAAUGUCAGUGGUUUCUGAACAAAUGUACCACAUAAUGAAUUGAAUGUAUGGUCCCAACUGCAUAGACAGUGGAACAGUGUCAAGCGGUGAACAAUAAAAUUGACUUUUGUAAA